rnacentral:rRNA from 1 species
UACGUAGGGGGCAAGCGUUGUCCAGAAUUAUUGGGCGUAAAGCGCGCGCAGGCGGUCAUUUAAGUCUGGGGUUUAAGGGCAAGGCUCAACCUUGGUUCGCACUGGAAACUGGGUGACUUGAGUGCAGAAGAGGAGAGUGGAAUUCCACGUGUAGCGGUGAAAUGCGUAGAUAUGUGGAGGAACACCAGUGGCGAAGGCGACUCUCUGGGCUGUAACUGACGCUGAGGCGCGAAAGCGUGGGGAGCGAACAGG